rnacentral:rRNA from 7 species
GACGAACGCUGGCGGCGUGCCUAAUACAUGCAAGUCGAACGAACUCUGGUAUUGAUUGGUGCUUGCAUCAUGAUUUACAUUUGAGUGAGUGGCGAACUGGUGAGUAACACGUGGGAAACCUGCCCAGAAGCGGGGGAUAACACCUGGAAACAGAUGCUAAUACCGCAUAACAACUUGGACCGCAUGGUCCGAGCUUGAAAGAUGGCUUCGGCUAUCACUUUUGGAUGGUCCCGCGGCGUAUUAGCUAGAUGGUGGGGUAACGGCUCACCAUGGCAAUGAUACGUAGCCGACCUGAGAGGGUAAUCGGCCACAUUGGGACUGAGACACGGCCCAAACUCCUACGGGAGGCAGCAGUAGGGAAUCUUCCACAAUGGACGAAAGUCUGAUGGAGCAACGCCGCGUGAGUGAAGAAGGGUUUCGGCUCGUAAAACUCUGUUGUUAAAGAAGAACAUAUCUGAGAGUAACUGUUCAGGUAUUGACGGUAUUUAACCAGAAAGCCACGGCUAACUACGUGCCAGCAGCCGCGGUAAUACGUAGGUGGCAAGCGUUGUCCGGAUUUAUUGGGCGUAAAGCGAGCGCAGGCGGUUUUUUAAGUCUGAUGUGAAAGCCUUCGGCUCAACCGAAGAAGUGCAUCGGAAACUGGGAAACUUGAGUGCAGAAGAGGACAGUGGAACUCCAUGUGUAGCGGUGAAAUGCGUAGAUAUAUGGAAGAACACCAGUGGCGAAGGCGGCUGUCUGGUCUGUAACUGACGCUGAGGCUCGAAAGUAUGGGUAGCAAACAGGAUUAGAUACCCUGGUAGUCCAUACCGUAAACGAUGAAUGCUAAGUGUUGGAGGGUUUCCGCCCUUCAGUGCUGCAGCUAACGCAUUAAGCAUUCCGCCUGGGGAGUACGGCCGCAAGGCUGAAACUCAAAGGAAUUGACGGGGGCCCGCACAAGCGGUGGAGCAUGUGGUUUAAUUCGAAGCUACGCGAAGAACCUUACCAGGUCUUGACAUACUAUGCAAAUCUAAGAGAUUAGACGUUCCCUUCGGGGACAUGGAUACAGGUGGUGCAUGGUUGUCGUCAGCUCGUGUCGUGAGAUGUUGGGUUAAGUCCCGCAACGAGCGCAACCCUUAUUAUCAGUUGCCAGCAUUAAGUUGGGCACUCUGGUGAGACUGCCGGUGACAAACCGGAGGAAGGUGGGGAUGACGUCAAAUCAUCAUGCCCCUUAUGACCUGGGCUACACACGUGCUACAAUGGAUGGUACAACGAGUUGCGAACUCGCGAGAGUAAGCUAAUCUCUUAAAGCCAUUCUCAGUUCGGAUUGUAGGCUGCAACUCGCCUACAUGAAGUCGGAAUCGCUAGUAAUCGCGGAUCAGCAUGCCGCGGUGAAUACGUUCCCGGGCCUUGUACACACCGCCCGUCACACCAUGAGAGUUUGUAACACCCAAAGUCGGUGGGGUAACCUUUUAGGAACCAGCCGCCUAAGGUGGGACAGAUGAUUAGGGUG